rnacentral:siRNA from 1 species
UGGCCGAGAUGGGCGUGUGCUG